CCCGCAACGAGCGCAAUCCUUGCCAUUAGUUGCCAUCAUUAAGUUGGGCACUCUAAUGGGACUGCCGGUGACAAACCGGAGGAAGGUGGGGAUGACGUCAAGUCCUCAUGGCCCUUAUGACCAGGGCUUCACACGUCAUACAAUGGUCGGUACAGAGGGUCGCGAAGCCGCGAGGUGGAGCCAAUCUCAUAAAACCGAUCGUAGUCCGGAUCGCACUCUGCAACUCGAGUGCGUGAAGUCGGAAUCGCUAGUAAUCGCAGAUCAGCAUGCUGCGGUGAAUACGUU
rnacentral:rRNA from 1 species